AUGGCACAUCCCAGCUGCCGGGUGUCCCGGCGUGGGGGCGUGGUCUCGCGCUGCACGGGCGGGGGCUGGCCCUCAUCCGGGCCACGCCCCGCCCUGCCAGUGGCCAAGGGCGCGGCAUCCUCGCUUCCCUGCAAAGCUGUGGUCUGCACCAGCCGAGCGAAGGUGAUCCAGAAAGGUUUCUCCGUCGGUACUGGAACCCUUCCGUGGGUCAUUUCCUACCUCGGCCCGAGAGCAGGAGACUCCGCAGGGGAGGAGGACUCUCAAAGUAAGGUUCUGCUUUGGAUUUCAGAGCAUUUUUCUCCUUAUCUGUGUCACUGCAGGGAGCCCCAGGGCCCCUGCGGGGGGCAGCUGCUGGGCGGUGGAAGGGGCGGGAGACUGGUGAGUCAUUCUCCUAAGUUGUGGUUUCUGCUAUUACUUUCCUUUCCGACCGGGAGUUCAGGAGCUGCUGUGUAGCGUACGGGACAAGUGAGUGUGGAACAGGAGGUGAAGGAAGCGCUGAGACGAGGGUGGGUAGGAAAGGAGUGACAGAGCUGGGGCUUUAAUCGCUUCAACUGGAGAAAGAGAGUCCCGGAAGGAAGGACACUUACUGCUGUGCGGACCAAUGGCUCUGCGGGUGCUGUGGACCUAGGCGUGGUCCUGUGGAACUGCUGCAGAUUUGAGAUUCCUCUGUGCGUGGGAGCUGCAGCAAGGGCUUCUCCUGGGAAAUCUGUGGAUCACCGAGAGCCUGCAGUUUGUGGGAAGCACCCAGGGUUAUCGUCAGAGUUACAAGGCUAUGUUCUAGUUCAGUGAAUUCAAUAAUAAUAGCAUAGUAUUCUGGUCAGGGGAUCAAGAAUAUUUAUUCUCACAGGAGUUAAAUUUAACCAAGUUAAAUAAAACUAACCUCUCAAAUCCAAAGAAAUCCUUUUACCCCUGGGAAGACGUUCAGUUAAGCUUCCGUCCUGACACAAUGUUACAGAAAUAGAAAACUUUGUCAAGCAAUUUGUUUUUCCUGAACUGAUGUUACUAUAUAUAAAACAGAUAUACUAGAAAGAUCACUGUAGCCAGCUAUAGAAAGUGUACACGAGGGGCUUCCUUAGAGUAAGGGACAGAAUGGGAAAAGGGCAGUCUUCCCCCUAAUUUAUACUUCCUCCUGUUGGCCUAGAGUCCUGAAGAGACAGUCAUGAAAGGAGAUUUCCUAACCUGAAGGACAGCAAAGGGAGUGAACAUACAACAAGGAGAGGCUUUAUUUACCCCAUGAUCCAGAGAUGUGCUGAAAAGCAUGUCUGGAGCGAUCUGCAGUGAAGUGGAUGACAAAUCAAGCUGUCAAAAUGCAAUUUAGUGCCUACUGUACAGUUAACUGUAUUUAAACCUAUUGUUCCCUAUUUAAUAUUUCAAUAUUCUGAAUCUGUAUUCAGCAUAUAGUUGCCAACCACAAUUGACCAUGAACCAUUUAGUAUUUUUAAGCAAUGUUUUUUAAAAGAUUCCACAUAAUGCUACAGUUUAUGCAGUUGAAUUCAUUAAUACUACUUAUGAGUAUACCAUCCUCCUAAAAAGGAAGAAUUCAGCAGUUACCAGCUAGGAUACUGCUAUGUACAAGAGAAUUCCUGUUUCCCUUACUGUCUCUCACGGUGUCUACCUACCUACCUAUCUUUAUGAGGAGGAAAAACAUCAAUGAGGGGAUGGGAAAAUUGCACGACCUUCCAAACAACACUUGCAAAUACCUUUAAGGAUUGCAUAUUUGGGACUGGAAGUCCCCCUGUUGACCCUCUGAGUUCUUGCCACAGUUGACCAGUUCAUUCACUGAAAGUCAUGUUCUAAUACUUUGAUGCCUUAGUUCACUUUUUUUUUUUAAUAAGUGGUAUUUUAAUUUCUCCAGCCAAAGCAACGUGAAUGAUUUUGGCUUGGCUUCAUCCUAAGUACAGACAGGCACAAAAAGUUAGACCCCUGAUUCAGGCAACCCUGGGGGUUCCUUCAUCCAGAAUGUCUGAUACCCUGGUGAGGACAGCAGCUGCUAAGAAUUAACUACAGUCUGCCCACAUUUCUUGCGAUGGAAAAUCCAAGUGGUGUCACUGUGACUCAUUUGAGAUUUUUGUUUUCCUCUUGUGGAAGUCAGGGCUUUGUUUCCCCAUGACCUUCAGUUCCUCUGUAAUGCCAGUUAAGGCACAGGUUAUGUGGAAAUCAUGAUAUGAAAAGAAAAGCCAAUUUCUGUGUUGCUUUGCUCCUUGCAAAAAGACUGGAGGAAGUUUUUCCUUCCUGGAAUCUCACCUCUUAAGAGUCUUACUGCAGUGCUGACACUCAUGAAAAGAAAUUUUAAAAUAAGUUACUUUUUGGACCUUUUCCAAUUUUUUUUUUUCUUCCUUCAAAUUAGAACGUUCUUAGGCUUUAAUCAGUCACAGGCUUGGAGUUAAUUAUUAGCUCUCUAUUCCUAUUAAUAUAUUUUAUGCUCAGGAGAGAGUUUGGGGAGAUAGAAAAAUUCCAAAAGAGGUCAGGUGUGGUCACACUUGCUCUCCAAUCUCAUUAAGAGGCGGUAGAAGCAAGCGUCGAAAGCAUAGACUCUGGAGCCCGGCUGUCUCGCUGUGUGUGAGUCCAGGCCUCCUCUGUGAUGGCUGUGUGACCUUAGGCAGAUGACUUAACCUCUCUGAUGCUCGUUUCCUCAUCUGCAAAAUAGAAGUAAUAAGAUAUCAUAGGGAUGCUGUGAGCAGUUAAUCUGGUGAGCUACUUAGAACAGUGUUCAACAUGUAAUAAAUAAGACAGGCCAAUGGUAGGUAUUACUACUAAUAAUUGAUUUCUCCUACCACUCUGUAGUCUGUAUCACUAUACCUACCCAUCCACUCUAUACCCUCAGACACACUGGUGUCCUUUCUCUUCCUUACACAAGCGAAGUCCUUUCCUGGCUCCUGUGUCCUCGCUGUUUUCUCUCCCUGUGUCUGUCUCCCACAUCACUUGAUGUCUUUCGGAGCCCUUCUCUCAGUCUGCUACUGUCCUGCUUCAUGGCCCUCCUGGGUUGUCUCCCUCCACAUCUCUGUGUCUUCUGGAGGAUCAGGACCUCCGCUGUCAGUCUGGAUUGCCAUCGGAGCCCUGCGCACCUCGCCACCUCGCGUGGUGCCCGGCGUGGAGUGGGGCAUAACUCAGGGAAGGAACCGUGCCCCAAAGCAAUACUGAAGAAGGUGGUAGGUGUGGACUUCAGGCAAGCGCUCCAUUUAGGUGAAAUGGUUUGUUGUGCAUUGAUUGCAGAUCGGCUCCAUUUAAUGAAUUGUUAGGCGAUUUUAUUUUCUUCUGCAUCCCGUGGCUUCUCCUCAUUCUUUCUUCUGCCCGCUGAGGUGGGUGCCUUCAGACCACGGGGAAAUGUCCUGCGGCCUGUCGCUGGGAUCACAUCCCGUGGGACCUCUGCUGCAGAUGGCCCAGCACGGCCCCGACUUCUAGGUGCGGUGCCCGCACACCUCUCACCCCAUAGAGCCUUUUGUGUCAGGAAACUGGGAACGUUUGUCGUCACCCCAGCAGAGGAACGUAGGA
ensembl:lncRNA